GACGAACGCUGGCGGCGUGCCUAAUACAUGCAAGUAGAACGCUGAAGGAGGAGCUUGCUCUUCUGGAUGAGUUGCGAACGGGUGAGUAACGCGUAGGUAACCUGCCUGGUAGCGGGGGAUAACUAUUGGAAACGAUAGCUAAUACCGCAUAAGAGUAGAUGUUGCAUGACAUUUGCUUAAAAGGUGCAAUUGCAUCACUACCAGAUGGACCUGCGUUGUAUUAGCUAGUUGGUGGGGUAACGGCUCACCAAGGCGACGAUACAUAGCCGACCUGAGAGGGUGAGCGGCCACACUGGGACUGAGACACGGCCCAGACUCCUACGGGAGGCAGCAGUAGGGAAUCUUCGACAAUGGACGGAAGUCUGACCGAGCAACGCCGCGUGAGUGAAGAAGGUUGUCGGAUCGUAAAGCUCUGUUGUAAGAGAAGAACGAGUGUGAGAGUGGAAAGUUCACACUGUGACGGUAUCUUACCAGAAAGGGACGGCUAACUACGUG
rnacentral:rRNA from 1 species